GACGAACGCUGGCGGCGUGCUUAACACAUGCAAGUCGAACGGACAGGCCCCGUUGUGGGUACUCGAGUGGCGAACGGGGGAGUAACACGUGAGUAACCUUCCCUUAACUUCGGGAUAACUUCAGGUAACGGAGGCUAGUGCCGAUUCGGAAUCCUUUCUUCAUGGGGGUGGUUGAAAAGCUACGGCGGUUUUUGAUGUACUCGCUGCUUAUCUGCUUGUUGGUGGGGUAGUGGCUUACCAAGGCGUUGACGGGUAGCCGGCCUGAGAGGGCGACCGGCCACACUGGGACCGAGAUGCGGCACAGACUCCGACGCGAGGCAGCAGUGGGGAAGAUUGAACAAUCGGCGGCGGCCUGAUGAAGCAGCGCCGCGUGCGGGAUGACGGCGUUCGGGUUGAAAACCGCAUUCAGAAGGAGCGAAGCUUGUGGUGACGGUACCUGAAGAAGAAGCACCGGCUAACUACGUG
rnacentral:rRNA from 1 species